UACAGAGGGGGCAAGCGUUGUUCGGAAUUACUGGGCGUAAAGGGCGCGUAGGCGGCCUUCUAAGUCGAACGUGAAAUCCCCGGGCUCAACCCGGGAACUGCGUCCGAUACUGGAAGGCUUGAAUCCGGGAGAGGGAUGCGGAAUUCCAGGUGUAGCGGUGAAAUGCGUAGAUAUCUGGAGGAACACCGGUGGCGAAGGCGGCAUCCUGGACCGGUAUUAACGCUGAGGCGCGAAAGCCAGGGAGCAAACGGG
rnacentral:rRNA from 1 species